GGAUAUGAGGACAAUCUGGCUGUGACAUCUGUCCCCUCAUUGAUCUCCCGAGUUGAUUCAACUGAUCUAGAUGUCUUGGAGGGUGUCCCCUUUCUCUCUCACCGCUCCAGGUCUCUCCCAAAGCUGCAUGCUCAGUUGGAGGAGAUGGUUUUCCCUGAUGGAGGAGGACAUUCUUCAGUCAAGGAUGUACAAGUAACUCUGUUUCCCUGCUGGAACCUCUAGACAAGCUCUCAAAGCUCAUCCAGACCUUAGUAGUGCCUGAAGUGGGCAUUGCUUUGG
rnacentral:snRNA from 1 species